CAGUGAUGUGAUCUUGGUUCACUGCAACCUCUGCCUCCUGAGUUCAAGCGAUUCUCCUGCCCCAGCCUCCCAAGUAGCUGGGACUACAGAGUUUCACUCAUGUUGCCCAGGCUUCAGUGCAACGAUGUGAUUUCAGCCCACUGCACCCUCUGCCUCCCGGGUUCAAGCUAUUCUCCUGCCUCAGCCUCCCGAGUAGCUGGGAUUACAGGCAUGUGCCACUAAGCCCGGCUAAUUUUUUUUGUAUUUUUAGUAGAGAUGGGGUUUCUCCAUGUUGGUCAGGCUGGUCUCGAACUCCUGACCUCAGGUGAUCUGCCCGCCUCGGACUCCCAAAGUGCUAGGAUUAUCUUUCAUCUUUUAAAAAAAUGUAUUUUAUUUUUAUUUUAGAGACAGGUGUCUCACUGUGUUGCCCAGGCUGGCAUAGAACUCUUGGGCUCAAGUCAUCCUCCCAACUCAGCCUCCCUAGUAGCUGAUACUAAAGGCAUCCACUGCUGUGCCCAACUUUGUCUUUUGGUUUUAAUUUAUUUUUAUUUAUUUUAUUUUAUUUUUGAGACAGGGUCUUGCUCUGUUGCCCAGGCUGGAGCAUAGCGGCGCGAUCUUGGCUCACUGCAGCCUCUGCCUCCUGGGUUCAAGCGAUUCUCCUGUCUCAGCCUCCCUAGUAGCUGGGACUACAAGCACACAUCACCAUGCCUGGCUAAUUUUUGUAUUUUUAGUAGAGACAGGGUUUCACCAUGUUGGCCAGUCUCAAACUCCUGACCUCAAGUGAUCUGCCCGCCUCGGCCUCCCAAAGUGCUGGGAUUACAGAUGUGAGCCACCACACCCAGCCUCUUCAUCUUUUUAUUUGAGAUGGAAUCUUGCUCUGUCACCCAGGCUGGAGUGCAGUGACGCAAUCUUGGCUCACUGCAACCUCUGCCUCCCGGGUUCGAGCAAUUCUCCUGCCUCAGCCUCUUGAGUAGCUGGGAUUACAGGAGUGUGCCACCACGCCUAGCUAAUUUUUCUAUUUUUAGUCGAGAUGGGGUUUCACCAUGUUGGCCAGGCUGGUCUCUAACUCCUGACCUCGUGAUCUCCCCACCUCAGUCUCCCAAAGUGCUGGGAUUACAGGUGUAAGCCACAGCGCCUGGCCCUCAUUGUGGUUUAAAUUAGUAUAUUUUACUAUUGUUUUCUGUUUGUUCCCUCUGAUUCUCAUUCCUUUGUUUCUCUCCCUUUGCCUUCCUUGGGGUGGGUACAUGACCAUUGUUUUUAGAAUUCCAUUUUGACUUAUUUAUAUAAUUUUUGAGCAUAUCACCGUUAUGAUUUGAAUGUUUUUGUCCCUUCCAAAAAUUCAUGUCUAAACUUGAUCCCCAAUGCAGCAGUGUUGGGAGGUGGGGUCUUUUGGGAUGUGUUUAGGUCAAGAGGACUCUGCCCUUAUGAACAGAUUAAUGCUGUUAGAAUAGGGCUUGAAGGAGGGAAUGCCUCCCUUUUUGCCCUUUCACCUUUUUUGCCACGUGAGGACACAGUGUUCCCCCGCUCCAGAGGAUGCAGCAUUCAAGGCACUGUCUUAGAAGCAGAGAGCAGCCCUUCCCAGAUGCCAAACCUGUUGGUGACUUGAUCUUGGACUUCCCAGCCUCCAGAACUGUGUGAAAUAAAUGUGUUUUAUAAAUUAUCCAGUCUCAGGUAUUCUGUUACAGCAGCACAGAAUGUACUACGACAAUCACUUUGUAUGGUCUUCUUAGUGAUUGCUCUAGGUAUUACAACCUGCACGUGUAACUUAUCACAGUCCACCAAUGUCAAUGUUUUACUACUGUAAUUGACGUGGAGGAAUUUACUUCCCUUUAGAUCCCUUUACCUAUCCUAUUUUCAAAAUGUAAUUG
rnacentral:lncRNA from 1 species